rnacentral:rRNA from 1 species
UACGAAGGGGGCUAGCGUUGCUCGGAAUUAUUGGGCGUAAAGGGCUCGUAGGCGGUUUGUCACGUCAGGAGUGAAAACUCGGGGCUCAACCCCGAGCCUGCUUCUGAUACGGGCAGACUAGAGGUAUGCAGGGGAGAACGGAAUUCCUGGUGUAGCGGUGAAAUGCGCAGAUAUCAGGAGGAACACCGGUGGCGAAGGCGGUUCUCUGGGCAUUACCUGACGCUGAGGAGCGAAAGUGUGGGGAGCGAACAGG